rnacentral:rRNA from 1 species
AUACGGAGGGUCCAAGCGUUAUCCGGAUUCAUUGGGUUUAAAGGGUCCGCAGGCGGGAAAAUAAGUCAGUGGUGAAAGCCUACAGCUCAACUGUAGAACUGCCAUUGAUACUGUUUUUCUUGAGUAUAGAUGAAGUGGGCGGAAUAUAUCAUGUAGCGGUGAAAUGCAUAGAUAUGAUAUAGAACACCGAUUGCGAAGGCAGCUCACUAAACUAUUACUGACGCUCAGGGUCGAAAGCGUGGGGAGCGAACAGGAUUAGAAACCCCAGUAGUCC